rnacentral:lncRNA from 1 species
GGGAAAUUUCGAGGGGAAAAUUUAGGGGUUGGGUCGAAAUAGAAUUUACCUAUUUUGAAAUGGUUAAAUUUGCUAAUUGCACUAACUUGGUCAAAAGGGGGAAAAAAAAAACCGGGAAAGUGAGAGAGAGGGAAAUGAGGGCCAAAAUCAAAAAAUUUAACGAAAACCAAAUAGAAAAUCGAAAUGCCUCCUCCUAUUGUCUCACUGGUGUGAGCCGAGUGAUUCAGAGAGACUGAGACUGAGACUGAGACUGAGACUGAGAGAUGAAGACUGCAGCAAAGAGUUUGGUCAUCGAGAUCGAAGACGACGACUUCCUUUCUCAGGUGGCGGCGGCUGAGGCCCAGGCGCUCGCCAGCAAGCGUCGGCGUAUCAGUAUCGCACCCUCUCCAAACGCCGCCGUUUCUUUCCAUUCCCGAGCGAAUCACAAAGAAGGCUCGGACGGCGAAGAUGGCGGUAUUUACACCGCGGCUCUCAAAGGAAGCCAAAGAGCAGCCCCCGAGCCUCCACGCGGCGGAUUUUCGACGGGGAGAGUCAAUGUCGGCCAGACCGGAAACGACGGCAUUUCUGCUGGCGGUGGUUCGUGCUUCAAGUGCGGAAAACCGGGACACUGGGCCCGCGAUUGUGAUGUCACCGGUGGAGGAGGAGGCGGUGGAGGGUAUUAUGGUAAUUCCGGCGGCGGGGACUCUUCGUCUUCGAUUUCGGUUCCGGAGAAGAGCUGCCCCUGUGGAUUUGGCGCCUGCAUGGUGCUCACUGCAAAUACUGAGAAAAAUCGAGGUCGAAGGUUUUACAAAUGCCCUCUUAGACAGGUUCACAAAUCACAAACCCAUUUCUAUUUUUUUUGUCUUUUUUAGGUUUAAGAGAGAAAUAGAUGCCAUGGUUAUGGUUUUGUUUGCUUGAAUUUUGACAGGAAAAUGGGGGAUGCGGUUUCUUUGAGUGGUGUGACAAUGCUUCUGGGCCUAAUGUAAUGGCUAGUACUGGUAUGGGUAGUGGUAGCGCUACUAGGACCCAUAGUUAUGCUGCAUCUGAUUCUUCAUUUCCUGCUCUUGAAUGUCCCUGUGGCGGUGGUCUGUGCUUAAUCUUAACAGCCAAAACUGGCAAAAACAUCGGCAGCCAAUUCUAUCGUUGCCCUGCAAACGAGGUACCCUUUAACUUGUUGAGCCUAAUUCAUUGAUUUUGGCCCAAUUAGAUAGGAAUGCAUUGCAAAUUUGGAAUCUUUAUUUUAUAUUUAUUAUGUGUUUGAAUUAAUGUCUAAGAGAAACUGCUUGUUUGGACUUUGAAUCGUAAUAGAACUGGAUAGUGGCUUAUUGUUUUUUUUGGCUCGUUUAGGGAUGCGGUUUCUUCAAGUGGUGCAAUGAGCAUACCGGGGCAGCUGCUGGUGUUCUGGGUGGCGGCGCUGCCAAGGUGGAAAGGAAGGUUUCGAGUGAGGCAAGUAACAAUGGCUUUGGUGUAAGAACUGGUUCUUCCUGCUUUAAGUGUGGAAAGGAAGGGCAUUGGGCAAGAGAUUGCCCAGCAGUUCCUUCCUAUAAUGCUCCAGUUGAGUUGGAAGCACGGUCUGCUGCUUCACCGGGCUCUUGCUAUAAGUGUGGCAAGCCAGGGCACUGGGCGAGGGACUGCCCUUCUGGUUAAUGUGCAAUGUACUACUGAAAGACAUCCAUUUCUUGAGUUUAAUGUUUGUGUGUUGAAGUUUUUCAAGACUAGCUGUUUCUUGAUAUGAUAUGAGAGAUUGAAAACAGGAUUAACACAACCAUAUUAGGCCUGGCAAUAGUUUUCUGAGAAACUUGUGGA